GAUCCUGGCUCAGGAUGAACGCUGGCGGCGUGCCUAAUACAUGCAAGUCGAGCGGGAACCUUUGGAUUCGUCUGAAGGGGAGAGCGGCGGACGGGUGAGUAACACGUGGGUGACCUGCCCUGAAGAUGGGGACAACCACUGGAAACGGUGGCUAAUACCCAAUGUGCUCGGUAAUUCGUUUUGCCGAGUAAAGCUCCGGCGCUUCAGGAUGGGCCUGCGGCCUAUCAGCUAGUUGGUAGGGUAACGGCCUACCAAGGCAAGGACGGGUAGGGGACGUGAGAGCGUGGCCCCCCACACUGGCACUGAGAUACGGGCCAGACUCCUACGGGAGGCAGCAGUCGGGGAUAUUGCGCAAUGGACGAAAGUCAGACGCAGCGACGCCGCGUGGGCGAAGAAGGCCUUCGGGUUGUAAAGCCCUUUUCUGGGGGAAGAGAUAAGGACGGUACCCCAGGAAUAAGUGUCGGCUAAGUACGUGCCAGCAGCCGAGGUAAAACGUAGGACACAAGCGUUAUCCGGAUUUACUGGGCGUAAAGAGCGUUGAGGCGGUUCCGUAAGUUGGACGUGAAAGCCCUCGGCUCAAGUGAGGGAUGUCGUUCAAUACUGAGGGACUUGAGGGCAGCAGAGGGAGGUGGAAUUCCUAGUGUAGCGGUGAA
rnacentral:rRNA from 1 species